AACGAACGCUGGCGGCAUGCCUAACACAUGCAAGUCGAACGAAGCCUUCGGGCUUAGUGGCGCACGGGUGCGUAACGCGUGGGAAUCUGCCCUUGGGUUCGGAAUAACAGUUAGAAAUGACUGCUAAUACCGGAUGAUGUCUUCGGACCAAAGAUUUAUCGCCCAAGGAUGAGCCCGCGUAGGAUUAGGUAGUUGGUGGGGUAAUGGCCCACCAAGCCGACGAUCCUUAGCUGGUCUGAGAGGAUGAUCAGCCACACUGGGACUGAGACACGGCCCAGACUCCUACGGGAGGCAGCAGUGGGGAAUAUUGGACAAUGGGCGAAAGCCUGAUCCAGCAAUGCCGCGUGAGUGAUGAAGGCCUUCGGGUUGUAAAGCUCUUUUACCAGGGAUGAUAAUGACAGUACCUGGAGAAUAAGCUCCGGCUAACUCCGUGCCAGCAGCCGCCGUAAGAU
rnacentral:rRNA from 1 species